ensembl:misc_RNA 7SK 7SK RNA
GAAUGCGCUGGCAGUCUGGCUACAACAUACCCUUCUGAUCGCCAGGGUUGACAUAGCGGGCUGGGCAAGUGUUCUCUCCCUCCCUUGCUGUUCCAGGCAUGUCCCUCCUGAAGCUGGGAGCUUGAUCCAAAAGGAAAACAUUCCCUGGUAGAGAAGGAGCAAUCUUUGAUCAAGAAUAUAUGAGUAACUACUCUAGAACCUCCAAACAAGGACUCUAGAAAACCUUAGAGACUGAAGAGGUGUCUCAGUAGUCAGGAGCUUGUACUGAUUUUCCAGUGGAACCAAGUUCAGUUCCCA